GGUUAAUUGAGUCUUUUAAUAAGACUUUUUUCUUUUAAAUUAUGAUUCCUCCAGGUUUUUUUGUCUUGAUUUUACAGUUUUCAUGGCAAUUUCUAUUUCAAUGGCUAACCUCCUGAAGCGAGUGUUUAGUAAGCAGCAAAAAGCACACCGAGAACUCAGAGAUGUUAUUCGAGGUGCUAAAAGGAGAAACCACUUACAUGCUUCCAGAAAGAUGCAACAUUAGAAGGAAGUAUAAAAUGCACACUUUAUUUGUUUUAACUGAAGGAGAGUAACUCACUUUUUGCAGAUUGAAAUAGAAAAAAUUAUGAAGUUAUAAAGAUAUCAAACUUU